CGGAUUCUGGCUCAGAUUGAACGCUGGCGGCGUGCUUAACACAUGCAAGUCGCGCGUGAAAGGACUUCGGUCCGAGUAAAGCGGCGCACGGGUGAGUAACGCGUGGAUGAUCUACCCAUGAGUUAGGAAUAACGGCUGGAAACGGUCGCUAAUACCAAAUACGCUCCGAUUUCAACUUCGGGGGAAAGGUGGCCUCUGCUUGCAAGCUACUGCUCAUGGAUGAGUCCGCGUCCCAUUAGCUAGUUGGUGGGGUAACGGCCCACCAAGGCGACGAUGGGUAGCCGGUCUGAGAGGAUGACCGGCCACACUGGGACUGGAACACGGCCCAGACUCCUACGGGAGGCAGCAGUGGGGAAUAUUGCGCAAUGGGCGAAAGCCUGACGCAGCGACGCCGCGUGAGGGAUGAAAGGUCCUCGGAUCGUAAACCUCUGUCAGGAGGGAAGAACCGCCACGGUGCUAAUCAGCCGUGGUCUGACGGUACCUCCAAAGGAAGCACCGGCUAACUCCGUGCCAGCAGCAGC
rnacentral:rRNA from 1 species